ACCUGGCUGGCUCAAUCAGUAGAGCAUGUGACUCUUGAUCUCAGGGUCGUGAGUUGGAACCCCACGUUGGGUA
rnacentral:tRNA from 1 species